AACGAACGCUGGCGGCGUGCUUAACACAUGCAAGUCGAACGCGAAAGGGACUUCGGUCCUGAGUAAAGUGGCGCACGGGUGAGUAACGCGUAGAUAACCUGUCUUCAUGUCUGGAAUAAUACGCCGAAAGGGGUACUAAUACCGGAUAUUCUUGCUUUUCAUAAGUUAUGCAAGCAAAGGUGGCCUCUGCAUAUGCUACUGCAUGGAGAGGGGUCUGCGUACCAUUAGCUAGUAGGUGGGGUAAUGGCCUACCUAGGCGACGAUGGUUAGCGGGUCUGAGAGGAUGAUCCGCCACACUGGCACUGGAACACGGGCCAGACUCCUACGGGAGGCAGCAGUGAGGAAUAUUGCGCAAUGGGGGAAACCCUGACGCAGCGACGCCGCGUGAGUGAGGAAGGCCUUCGGGUCGUAAAGCUCUGUCAAGAGGAAAGAAGUGUACAAUGGCUAAUACCUGUUGUAUUUGACGGUACCUCUAAAGGAAGCACCGGCUAACUCCGUGCCAGCCGCCGC
rnacentral:rRNA from 1 species